UACGUAGGGGGCAAGCGUUGUCCGGAUUCAUUGGGCGUAAAGCGCGUGUAGGCGGCCAGGUAGGUCCGGUGUGAAAACCCGAGGCUCAACCUCGAGAGGUCAUCGGAAACCAUCUGGCUAGAGUCCGGAAGAGGAGAGUGGAAUUCCCGGUGUAGCGGUGAAAUGCGCAGAUAUCGGGAAGAACACCUAUGGCGAAGGCAGCUCUCUGGGACGGUACUGACGCUGAGGUGCGAAAGCGUGGGGAGCAAACAGG
rnacentral:rRNA from 1 species